GACGAACGCUGGCGGCGUGGAUUAGGCAUGCAAGUCGAACGGUAUCAUCCUUUCGGGGGUGAGAGAGUGGCGAACUGGUGAGUAACACGUAGGUUAUCUACCCUCAAGACGGGGACAACCCAGGGAAACUUGGGCUAAUACCGGAUGUGAGCAACUUUUAGUUGUUUGAAAGGUGGCGUAAGCUGUCGCUUGGGGAGUGAGCCUGCGUCCUAUUAGUUAGUUGGUGAGGUAACGGCUCACCUAGGCAAUGAUAGGUAGGCGGCCUUAACGGGUGGUCGCCCACACUGGGAUUGAGAUACGGCCCAGACUCCUACGGGAGGCAGCAGUCGAGAAUAGUCUACAAUGGUCGGAAGACUGAUAGUGCGACGCCGCGUGAACGAUGAAUCCCUUCGGGGUGUAAAGUUCUUUUAUAUGUGAGCAGUGCUUCUUAUAUUAACAGUAUGGGGAGAGAGUAUUAGCAUAUGAAUAAGCAACGGCUAAACUCCGUGCCAGCAGCCGCGGUAAUA
rnacentral:rRNA from 1 species